GCCCGAUUAGCUCAGCUGGUUAGAGCGUCGUACUAAUAUCAUUCCAUCCUGGUGGAGUCAUAUUUGGUAUAUGCGAAGGUCAACAGUUCAAUCCUGUUAUUGGGCA